CUGAAAAUGUUUCUCUGCUCCUUCAGAACCUGCAGCUCAAUGACAGCAGAGUCUACAGCGUCACCUUCAAAGCACCACAGCAAACCAGACAUAUCACAUUGACUGUAUCUGAACCUUAUUUCAACCAUGGAAACGCAGAUGGUGGAACAGGAAAUGAAAUGAAUUCACCUCUUGUCCUUCUCCUUGGACUCUUGAUCACCGGAGGCUUAAGUUUUCUCCUGCUCCUCCUGUUGCUGUUCUUCUGCUGCAGAUGGCAUAAGGGUGCAGUUCAGCAUAGGAGGACAAGAAUCAUAAAGCAACAAGAAGAGGGUUGUUUGUCUUUAUCUAGGUCCCAAACCAUGAGGAGUCUCACAUGGAAAGUUCGUUACCAAUGACGGUAUCAUCAAUUUAUGCAAGGAUUGGAGAAGAUGCUGGGCAGAGGCAGCGCAGAUCAGAGUCACA